UCCUAAAAUAUUCAUAUGCGCUCUCUCUCUCCGGCUUCAGUCUGUUCUUCCUCGCUUCUUCCUUUUCCUCGGGUCUUAUCCAGUUCUUCCUCCAUUCUCCAUCUCGCAUAGCUCUCUCCCCGGCUCUGCUCGGGAAUCUGUUUUCUCCAGUGCUUCAUCUUUUUCUUUCUGUCCUCGUUACCUCGUUACUCUGUUAUUCGGUGGACGAUCUGGUUGUGUUCCAGUUCAGAAUGUACCGAUGUAGCUUCUUCUUGUUCAUGUGCUGAUUUCUACCUCAGUUCUUCUGCAGAUCGGACGAUUAUCGCCUUCGUCGUUAUAAAUUUCACCAUUCGAUGAGUCUCUCCAAGCUCAAAGGUCAUGCUGCAAAUUCUGAUACUACUGCUCCCCUGAGUACUGAAGAUCUAACACAGUAAGAUAGCAAUGAAGAAAGUCAAACUUCUUCAACUACCAAGUCCGCAACAUCAAGGACAUCCGCAAAGACCCUUUACUGGAUUAUCAAGAAAUUCAAUCCUAUAAAGAGAUAGUUGGUCCAAGAAAUAGGUUUUGGAGGCCUACUUGAACUGCCUCUAUGGAAUUCAAUUAGUCGCAUCUUCAGUACUUGGUUUCUCGGCAAAGUUGAUUGCAUAGACUUCGCAAUUGUACUAGAUGCAGCUCAGAGGCUCCAAUUCACAGCACAGGAUGUCAAUAAAGUAUUUGGUAUCCCAUGUGGAGAUCGUGAUGUACUAGGACCAGAAACUAAAAUGUCGGAUGCUGCAAUGGCUUACAUUCGUGAACAAGCUGGUAUAUCUAUGAGCAAGAUCAGCCUAAAAGAUGCUGAGAAGAUUGUCCUUAUGGACUUGUCAGAAAACAGCACAAGAUUACAGAAGGAUUCAUUAUCAUUGCCAUGGGUCAUCUCCUGUCACCAUCAACAAAGUACGAUCAUGUGAACAUUGAUUUCCUUGGUGCUUUGCGUUAAUACAACUGGUGUGCAUAUGUUCUCAAAGGUAUCAUUGAGGCAGCUCAGAAAGUACAGGCUGACUUGUCCAUGAACAAAGUCGUUUCCAACAUAUUUGCUUGUCAUGUAUUUCUUCAGAUAAUCUGUUACUUGGACCACUGCAACCUCGAAAGAACAUCUACCCUCGUAUGGUGGCUUUCCCCACAGAAGUACUUAACAAACUCAUAUUAGCUGACACUAAGCCUGGAGGUGGUUAUGGAGCCAACCAGUUUAAUGCAAGGGGUACUGUUCGUGUUGCCAACAUGUCAGCAACUACAGUACAACCACUUGCUCUGCCUAGUGGAUCGGGACAAAGUCCUGCCCUUCUGCAUUCUGCCCCAACCAACUCCGGUACAACCAAUCAAAUUACCGCAGCAACAUUGCCCCAAUUCCUCAGAGAAAAGUACCCUAAUCUGUGCAAUACAAGACUGGGGAAUGAUUUGAAACAAUACAAUGCAAACAUGGCAAGAGCAAUGAACGAAAGGCACAUAGCUGAGAAGAAUCAUGUACUGCAGCAAAAUUUAUGGCUUGCAGACAAGAUAUGCAACUACAUCUCCUCCAGCCCUUUGCCACCGCAACAUUCAGCUUCAACUGCAAGAACACAAGCUUCUAGAAGCAGCUCCGUUAAAAGAGGACACAACAGAGAUGAACUUGGCUCUCAGUACGAAGCUGACAACAAGGAAUGUACCUCACCCGUGUGUACAAUGAAAUCCCUAGAGGACACACCCAACAGGUCAACAUCAGAAUUGCAGGAUGUGAUAAAGAAGAAAUCAAAGACUGAUGGCUCAGAUGGGGUUCAAACCAGCAGAUCUAUGUUCAAGAACAUGGACAUCGAACCACCAACGUUUGAUCUUGGCAUCAACUUUGUACCGAUCAUGACUCAACAAUAUGUACCAACCUUCACAGCUUUGGACGAUGACUCCAAGAAAAUUGCAGAAGCAGCACCAUUGGAACCAUAUUCUCCGGCUACUACAAAGUUAUACAUGGAACAUGCUGUCGUAGAUUUGAUGAUGAGGUCAGAAGACAUAUAAUGCGCUGAGAGUAAGAUACUGUUUGGUGCACUCUCUUCUUCACCACCUUCCAAACGUCGAACCAAGGUUGGUACGUUUGCACCCUCACCUUGGUCUGAAGGAUACAUUCAUCCUAAACCAGAUGGUGACAUCAUGGUUUCUCUUAUGGAAUGGUGUGUUGACGCGCCUCCACACUAUUUGAAAAUGCCAUGGGUAACCACUGAAUUUCCUCGGUACAUCUCAAUAAAUGGCAGUGCAGUACAUAAACAACUUAUUGGCACCGAUGUUCUUGACUUCGAAAUGUGUGACCUCCUUGUAAGGCGGUUAACACAAUUAGACACAAGGAUGGAACCAACCAGCAGGAGGUUGCGUUGGCGUCAUCUUCUUGAGAGUGAUUUCUCUGUACGCGCGAUAGCAGAAAAUGACUUGACAUAUUUCUUAUCAAUCCAGCAACAAUUCAUUGGCAAUGAGAUAACGUACAACAUGUCGUGCACCAGAAUGUUCGCCGUACCUUCAUUCAUUGAGGAAUCCUGGUCUGCCUACAUGUUUGACAUGAAGCAAGAGGUUAUUCAUAUACUUGAUCCGUUGGGGCUGCAUCUGGAAUCGGCAACAGUUAAAGAACUGCACGGUCAUUCUGCUAACCUCAUUCAAGAUAAGCUUUUUGAUUGCUUCAACAAAUACUAUGAAAUUUGGAACCCGCAGAAGAAACAGUGGCCUCAUGUAUAUCCAGUGCUGACAAACGACAAGUUCAACAAGAAUCAAAGUGGAUUAUGCAUGUUACAUUGUGUCCGCAACUACAAUGGGGAUGAAUUGGAGCAGCCACUCACACUGAGCGGUUAUUCAAGGCUGCAACAUACCUUUCUUCAUGACCUCCUCACCAUGGAGAAUAACAAAUCCAGGCUCCCCGUACCCAUAAUGAAGAUCAUUGACCCGCCAAAUUGGAGACAAGUCUAGCUGCUGAAGUGUUCUUCCAGCAUUGCAUCAAGAUGGACAAGUCCAGUCUCGCAUCGUUCCAAGUUCUGUCAUAUGAAAACUUGUUUCUCUGGUCACGUUGAAUGCCUUUUGGUUGUCAACUCCUGUGUGUACUGGUUCUGAUUAUGGUUCUACCGUCCUGCCUAUAAUUUACUCAAACUGCGUACCUUCAUGUACUUAUGUUCUUCAAUGUAUGACAGCUUAUUUCCUCGAACUGCAUACCUUCAUGUACUUAUGUUCUUCAAUGUAUGCCAGCUUAUUUCCUCUUA